GACGAAUUCAAUCAAUGUUUAGAUCGCUUCGACUCCGUGACAUGAAGGAAUACAAAGUGUUCACUGCGGACUCAGAAUUCGACCCGCUUGAGUGGGAAAAUUCUUCAAAGUUCAGGACACACUUGCAGGCCACUGGAUGCUGACUACUGAAGGUUAGGUUGUGUGUGACGGUGCUCAGCACAGCUUCAUGUCUGGGCUUCCCACUCUGUUCAUAGCAUGUUACAUAUUCAAUCUUGAGUACCAGGAUGGGGUAGCGUGUAUCUUGAAGUCCACUGAAAGAUAUUAAUCCAGAGAGUGUAACAAGAAGAAGCGUCAUCUAAAAUGCCAGGAUACAGAAGAAACAGGUUGCAGUGAACCCACAUGUUGCCGCUCUUCUAAAC